UAUAUCUUAGUAUAAAUGUAUAAAAGUUUUUGAUACUUUAGGAAAUAGUUAUAUUCUAUUAGAUAUA
rnacentral:tRNA from 1 species